ensembl:rRNA 5S_rRNA 5S ribosomal RNA
GCUUACGGCCACACCGGCCUGAGUUCGCCUGAUCUCGUCCGAUCUCGGAAGCUAAGCAGGGUCGGGCCUGGUUAGUACUUGGAUGGGAGACCGCCUGGGAAUACCAGGUGCUGUAAGCU